AAGGCUCUGAGCUGAGGAAAGCUGGUCAGCUGCUGCCACCCUGUGGCCAGGCGGAAGAACACUUGGAUCUAGGAACCCCAGGAAAGUGGAAAGGAGAAAGUGUCCUUAACAGAAUAAAGGAUGAAUGAGAAAAUUCUUCAGGGUUGAAAUUAGCUCUGGAUAUCCUGGAUGGGCAUGAAUGAAGACUUUGUGCAGUCUGUGCUAGUUUAGCUCCAGCCCUGCGGACAGGAGGCUAUGAUAACUGCCACAAAGACACCGGGAGGUGCCUGAUGCCUGUGUGUCUACCGAGGGUCAUCUGCCACCACUCCAUCUCUACUCGCGCUGCACGCAUCAGCUCCACAGUGUGUCCAGAGGCUCUGAGAAGACAGCGUGGAAGAAAGGAAAGAUUACAUUUAUGACUCAGUGAAAGUUUAAAAGAAAACAAAGACAACAGUUGUCAAUUUUAAAGGCACUACUUGUAUCUCAACUGUUGUUAAUUACUGUAGAAUAUAUCUACUUUUCUGCUAUAGUCUGGACGAUGGACCCCCAAGCCUUCAUACAUGAUAAAUACAUGCUCACAGAAAUGCCUACAGCCUUACGUGGGUUUAAUUCCAUUACAUGCCUGUACGAUAAAGAAGCAACUCUGAAUUUUCCACACUGUAACUUUUCAACUUUGUCAGAAAUCCAAGCUGUGUUUCCAUGUUCUGCCUCUAGGUGGCAGUUACGCCUCAUAAAACAAGAUACUCUGAAACUAGGGGGAAAAGAUCUUAGCAGUCUUCCAGCUUUGAAAAACCGUGUCUUACAUUUUUUUUAAAAGAUUAAAAGUCUGAAAGAUAAAAGAAUAGCUUAUUCCUUCUAGAAAAGGAUUAUAUUAAUUUAAAUAGUUUAGAGGAACAGUUAGGAAGUUCAAAAUUAGAAACUUUCAACUCUAUUAGAUUAAACAAAAACAAAAGUCUCACAUAGUGCAGAAUCAGGGUGAAGAUUAAAAUGCAGUAUUUCUGUGUUUCAUUAAUUUUGCUC